CAGUCGCCGCGGUAAUACGGAGGGUGCAAGCGUUAAUCGGAAUUACUGGGCGUAAAGCGUGCGUAGGCGGUUCGUUAAGUCUGUUGUGAAAGCCCCGGGCUCAACCUGGGAAUGGCAAUGGAUACUGGCGAGCUAGAGUGUGUCAGAGGAUGGUGGAAUUCCCGGUGUAGCGGUGAAAUGCGUAGAGAUCGGGAGGAACAUCAGUGGCGAAGGCGGCCAUCUGGGACAACACUGACGCUGAGGCACGAAAGCGUGGGGAGCAAACAGGAUUAGAUACCCCUGUAGUCCCUGUCUUUUAUAC
rnacentral:rRNA from 1 species